UACGAAGGGGGCGAGCGUUGUUCGGAAUUACUGAGCGUAAAGGGCGCGCAGGCGGCUCGACAAGUCAGAUGUGAAAGCCCCGGGCUCAACCUGGGAACGGCAUUUGGGACUGUCGGGCUAGAGUUCGGGAGAGGUGGGUGGAAUUCCCAGUGUAGAGGUGAAAUUCGUAGAUAUUGGGAAGAACACCGGUGGCGAAGGCGGCUCACUGGACCGAGACUGACGCUGAGGCGCGAAAGCGUGGGGAGCAAACAGG
rnacentral:rRNA from 1 species